rnacentral:rRNA from 1 species
GAUCAUGGCUCAGAUUGAACGCUGGCGGCAUGCCUUACACAUGCAAGUCGAACGGCAGCAUGGAGAGCUUGCUCUCUGAUGGCGAGUGGCGAACGGGUGAGUAAUACAUCGGAACGUGUCCGUUUGUGGUCGGACAACCGUCCGAAAGGAUGGCUAAUACCGCAUGAGACCUGAGGUGAAAGCCGGGGACCGCAAGGCCCGGCGCAGACGGAGCGGCCGAUGAUUG